rnacentral:tRNA from 1 species
CGCACGGUGGCGCAUUGGUUAGCGCUCUUGCCUCACAGCAAGACGGCCCCGGUUCAAGUCCUGGCUGGCGG